rnacentral:lncRNA from 1 species
GGGGGAAGGGAGGAGAAGUUAGGGUGACCCUCCCCCCAGUUCCCUGCGGAAGAAGAUCGGAGGCAGCUGCCGCUGGGAAAGGUCUGGAGGUUAGAGGAAUAUCUGCACCUGGCGUGGUGACUGGAAUACAGUAGAUGUUUAAUAAAUGCUUGGCUGUUGGUUGUUUGAGAAGACUG